rnacentral:rRNA from 1 species
AUUUGCCUUGUAAUUGAAGGCCCGUAUAAACGAAUUGACGACACCUAACCUUUCCUGAUUAAACAAAAAGAACUUGAUAUUUACUUCAAAAAGAGUAACUUUCUAAAAAGACGACAAGACCCUGUAAAGCUUUAUUAAUUUUUCUUAAGACUUAUUUUGAAAAAUAAUUAAGAAAAAAUUAAUUGAGCUGGGGCGGCAUCUUAAAAUCCCAAGAAGAAAAAACAUUAAUCUAUGAAAUUAAAGAUCUUUUUAAAAGAAAUAGAAUAAGCUACUUCAGGGAUAACAGCACAAUUUUUUCUUACAGACCUUAUAGAAGGAAAAGACUUGUGACCUCGAUGUUGAAUUGAGGGGCCUGAUUUGAGCAAAAGAAAAUCUAGGAAGUCUGUUCGACUUUUAAUACCUCA